CCGAUGCCCUGCUUUCCGGCCAGCAGCCAGCAACGCGCAGCACAACACCAUGCCUGCUGUCCCAGCCACCCCGUCGAGUUCCCCUUUGCAACUUCCAUGGCGCACAGCAGCCCACCCUCCAAAACACCAAGCAGCGGCAGCAACCUCCAUGGCGCCCCUGCUUCCAUCCCAUAGCUGAGCGCCCUUGCUGUUCUCUUCAAUGCCCCUUGGCUGUUCGACGGAAUACCCGUGAGAAAUAAUGUGUUGUGCGCAGCCCCGUCCGUGAUGCCGUCGACCCUCGCUAGUGGUCGACGCCGCGCUUCGCGCUUGGCUCAUUCGACGAAACGCCAAGCCUUGUGGACAGCCCAUGUGACUAGCCUCGAUUCGUCCAGGUUGUUCACUUGGUAUUUUGUGGAUUAAUCUGUUUAAGCUUGGUCGAUGUUGUGCAUGUGUGUAUAUGUGUAAGAAAAUGUAUUGGUAUGGAUUGAAGUUCGUGGCGAAAGAAAAAGAAGUAGAAAAGAACUCGGAUGUUUUUAUAUUUCGAUAGGAAUUUAUGCGAUGUGUUGUUUGAUGUGUGCAAUUUGUAGUUUGUAUAAGUAUAUUUUGGUCGAUGUGGUGUA